UCAGAUUGAACGCUGGCGGCAGGCCUAACACAUGCAAGUCGAGCGGUAACAGAAAGUAGCUUGCUACUUUGCUGACGAGCGGCGGACGGGUGAGUAAUGCUUGGGAACAUGCCUUGAGGUGGGGGACAACAGUUGGAAACGACUGCUAAUACCGCAUAAUGUCUACGGACCAAAGGGGGCUUCGGCUCUCGCCUUUAGAUUGGCCCAAGUGGGAUUAGCUAGUUGGUGAGGUAAUGGCUCACCAAGGCGACGAUCCCUAGCUGGUUUGAGAGGAUGAUCAGCCACACUGGGACUGAGACACGGCCCAGACUCCUACGGGAGGCAGCAGUGGGGAAUAUUGCACAAUGGGCGCAAGCCUGAUGCAGCCAUGCCGCGUGUGUGAAGAAGGCCUUCGGGUUGUAAAGCACUUUCAGUCAGGAGGAAAGCGUGGUGGUUAAUACCCAUCAUGUGUGACGUUACUGACAGAAGAAGCACCGGCUAACUCCGUGCCAGCAGCCGCGGUAAUACGGAGGGUGCGAGCGUUAAUCGGAAUUACUGGGCGUAAAGCGUACGCAGGCGGUUUGUUAAGCGAGAUGUGAAAGCCCCGGGCUCAACCUGGGAACUGCAUUUCGAACUGGCAAACUAGAGUGUGAUAGAGGGUGGUAGAAUUUCAGGUGUAGCGGUGAAAUGCGUAGAGAUCUGAAGGAAUACCGAUGGCGAAGGCAGCCACCUGGGUCAACACUGACGCUCAUGUACGAAAGCGUGGGGAGCAAACGGGAUUAGAUACCCCGGUAGUCCACGCCGUAACGAUGUCUACUAGAAGCUCGGAGCCUCGGUUCUGUUUUUCAAAGCUAACGCAUUAAGUAGACCGCCUGGGGAGUACGGGCC
rnacentral:rRNA from 1 species